ACCCACUUAUAGCCGCUGGAAGCGUUCGCGCGGAGUCGGAGGUGCAGGGUGCCUUAGACGCGGACCGGACGCCCGACGCGUCCUCCUCAGACAAACCGCAGUGCGUCGUAGUCUUGUGAGCAGACCUGUUCCAAAGCUGCACGUCUUCCAGACGCCGCUUCCAAAGACAAUGGUGAGACGAAGGAAUCGAGCGCCGCAAAGGAGGGCGCUUCUUGAGGAUUUUGUGGCGCACUUGGAAACACUCGAGCAUGCGCUCGUCUUCAUCCUACAGGCUUUGUUGGACCUGGAGGUGCUCUUCCUCGAUCUGUGCCCCGCUUUGCGAAGCAGGCUUUAAACACUGCGCUGCCACAUGGACGUCAUUUUUUUUCCUUUGUUCAAUUUUGAUGGAGCAGCACAUCUUGCUCACAUGAAUAUACGCUGCAUUUCUC
rnacentral:lncRNA from 1 species